rfam:Hordeum vulgare subsp. vulgare, WGS project CAJW01000000 data, contig: morex_contig_147127
CCUCUCGGUGAUGAGGAUUUCACCUCAUUCAUUCUCAAUGGUCUUGAUGAGGAUUAUGACUCCCUUGUGGAAAGCAUUCAUGGACAUGACACGCCUUUGCCGCCCCGCGAUCUCUAUGCGCGCCUCCUUAGCACGGAAC